rnacentral:lncRNA from 1 species
UUUUAUUCAAUAUUUUUAAAUAACAGAUCGUUUCCAUACCCCGUCCAGUAUGAGCGCCAAAAGAUACCAUCUCUCAAUACUCCAUCCGGUAUGAGGGUGAAAUGGAUCGUCCUUAUACUCCAUCCGACAUGAGCGCCAAAUUAUCAAUUCUAAAUAUCCCGUGUGGUAUGAAACAAUAUUUACGAUAGGGUUCCCUAUGUACCCGAUCCGUCCACCAUCUCCCAGUAUAUCUAGUAAGGCUACCGUUCAUUCAUUUACUUAA